rnacentral:rRNA from 1 species
AUGCGAAAGACUUCCCUGCAUUCGCGUGCCGCCACCAGAGCAGCAAGGCGCACAAAGGAUGGGUGGCAUCGGGCUUGCGCCGUGUACAUGGUGUGCAGGAGAGGAGGCAUGGUUCAAGGUUGUCUCUUCUGCGAUGUGUAUAUGUAUAUUACCAGCUUGCGCCUCACUGAGGGGCUCAAUGCUUAUUGGGUUUCUUGUUACACUUUUAACCUCGGAGAGCGAUUUCUGUUUUAUUUUCCUCUAUUGAUCAUGCUUACUAUGCGUAUGCUUAUUUUUAUAUUGAUCAUGCUUACUAUGCGUACAACUGUUAUUUCAGUGCUUUUAUUGGAGGGAGUUGGUAUUAUCCAGAUCAUAGUUUUCCUGGAUUGUCUGAGACCAGUGCCUCAAAGCAACGUCGCAGCUAACAAGGUUAUUUGUAUACUAUUCUGCUACCAGUGUUAG